rnacentral:tRNA from 1 species
GGUUGUAGCUCAGUUGGUAGAGUGCUUGCCUUGCAUGCCAAGGCCCUGAGUUCAAUCCCCAGCACCA